rnacentral:rRNA from 1 species
AUGCAAGUCGAACGGCAGCACAGGAGAGCUUGCUCUCUGGGUGGCGAGUGGCGGACGGGUGAGGAAUAUAUCGGAAUCUACCCUUUCGUGGGGGAUAACGUAGGGAAACUUACGCUAAUACCGCAUACGAACUGAGGUUGAAAGCGGCGGACCGCAAGGCGUCGCGCGGAUGGAUGAGCCGAUAUCCGAUUAGCUAGUUGGCGGGGUAAAAGCCCACCAAGGCGACGAUCGGUAGCUGGUCUGAGAGGAUGAUCAGCCACACUGGAACUGAGACACGGUCCAGACUCCUACGGGAGGCAGCAGUGGGGAAUAUUGGACAAUGGGCGCAAGCCUGAUCCAGCCAUGCCGCGUGUGUGAAGAAGGCCUUCGGGUUGUAAAGCACUUUUGUUGGGAAAGAAAAGCGGUCGGUUAAUACCCGGUCGUUCUGACGGUACCCAAAGAAUAAGCACCGGCUAACUUCGUGCCAGCAGCCGCGGUAAUACGAAGGGUGCAAGCGUUACUCGGAAUUACUGGGCGUAAAGCGUGCGUAGGUGGUUUGUUAAGUCAGAUGUGAAAGCCCCGGGCUCAACCUGGGAAUUGCAUUUGAUACUGGCAGACUAGAGUGCGGUAGAGGAGAGUGGAAUUCCCGGUGUAGCAGUGAAAUGCGUAGAGAUCGGGAGGAACAUCAGUUGCGAAGGCGGCUCUCUGGACCAGCACUGACACUGAGGCACGAAAGCGUGGGGAGCAAACAGGA